AGCAAGGUUUCGAAAGGAAGAAAGGAACACGGGGGAGGUAUGCUUAUAUUUUCAUUUUUUCUGAUUUUAUUUUGUUUUGUAUGUUAUCGAUGUUCACAAUCUCUCUUUUGAAAGCUAGGGCUUCUGAUGCUACUAAGGUUUAACGAUAGCGAUUUUCAAUUUGGUCACUAAUCGAUCCCUUUUUCUUUCCCUUCGGCUUGGUCUUUUCCUUCUUUUUUGACCUACCCAUUUUCUCAAUCCAUAUUCGUUGUUCCCAUAAUUUAAUAUCCAUAUAUACGACGUAUGUUGAUGAGAAUAAGAAGUAGAGGAUGAAUCACAGUGGUAUUCAACCGCCAUAGAGAGCUAAAAAGAUUUUUUUUGCUAUCAGAAGGUGUAGGUCGAGAUCUCGUUGGUGUAUACAUCUCCAAUCUCCUGGUAAAACGCUACCUAAAGUACCACUCUCACCUCUACCCUCUUUCAUCUAGUUUUUGCAUGUUUUCAUAUGUUGCUUCACCGCGGUUAACAACUUCAAACCCAUGCUCAGCCUACGUUUCUUUUUCUAAAAAGGUAAAUUUUUUCCAUUUUCUCGAAUUUCUUCAUAAUCUCUAUAUUAUUUGGUUUGGAUUUUUGAUAAGAACAAGAUUUUGGUUUCGAUUUUUCAUAAGAACCGUAUGAUCUAUUUGGUUUUGUGCUUGGAUUUAACCAUCUUGCUUAUGUUUGGGUAUUAUUUGUAAGGAGAUAUGUGAGUGUUAAAGGUAUUGAAGAUUGAGGAAAAUACAUCAUUUUUAUGUCGUGAUAGAGGAGUAGAAAAAGCAAGUUAUCUUUGUGCAUAUUUGGGAUCCUUCAAAUAAGAAGGUGAAACUCUGGACUUACUAUUCUUUUUUGUUUUGUAUAUUUCAAGAUGUAUCAUUACUAGAACAUUUUAACAAAACCAAAACUGUAAAGACUGUAUAUUUUGAUUAAUAAGAUUUUGAUCUUGAAUCUGAUCCAACUCUUCUUCUUUUUCUUGAAUUUCUCAUUUCGUUUUUUCAACCAAAACAUAUAUGGCGAUAUCGGUACUAGAAAGCACCCAAUAAGACCAGGAAAUAUAGGACGAGAUUAGGCCAAGAGAAAUCAAGAUGAGGUGUAAACUGUAAGUGGUGAGUCUAUGGAUUUAUUUAUGCCUUUUUAGUCAUUUUUUGGAUUUAAUAAUCUUGGAUUUGUUAUAUUUGGCAGAUUACAAGACAAGUAUCCCAGGUGUUCAAUAAAAUGCCUAAAAUAAUGUUUGCUUAAGUGUAAGAUAAUUUGUUUUAGAUAAGGUAAAGAAGAGGAUAUAAAUCGAAAUAUCUGAGAUUCGAUCUAGCCUGAACAUGAAGAACGAUAUCCCUUUCUCUAUUUUUGAACCGGAUUCUUUGAAAUGUUCUCUUUCACUCUUUAUGGAAUACUAAUGAUUUUGAUAAUAAUUUUAAUUUUGUUGAUGUCAAUUAUUCAUGAAGAGUUGAAUAUAACAUCAUAAUCUUUCUUCAAUUUUCAUCAUUGGUGUAUUUGAUAUCGCUGAACUUAAGAUUAGUACUAAUGACUAUUUUAUUUGUAAAUUUGCUGUUUAAUUUGAUUGGGAACAAAGGGAGAAGAACAUACUAAAACCAGCCAUUUGUAAAAGACAAUGCAAAUGCUAGAAUGAGGUUUAUGACAUGCUAAUUAGCCCACUGAUCUAUUAACAGAUGUUACUAAAUCAUGCAAAGAUCUUGUAAAAGGCCAGCGAUGUUUCUAUUCAAAGGUAUAGCCAUAGUUUUUUGAUUGUUUAUGGUUUCGAAAUGAUCAGUACAUCCUUCUGUUUUCAUUCAAUAUAGUUUCUUGUAAAAAAAUUAUUAACAUUUAAUGAUUUACACUAUUAUGUUGAUUAUUGUGACAAUAACUACGGAGGCAUUCUGGAGAUAUAGACCUCAAUGUGUGUAAAAACAUAUUGCAGUUUCUCGUCGUGUGUGGAG
rnacentral:lncRNA from 1 species